CAACUUCCCAUUUGAAUAUUUUUAUUAAUCGUGCCUAGUCUUGUCCUUUCAACUUCAAUACAUGUUGUGGAAUUUAAUUCUAAAUAAGAUUUUUGUGGUCUCAGUCCCACUUGAUGGUUCUGGAUUGAAACAAAAGUAAAUUUGAGAAAAGAAAGGGCUUCCUAUUAAUCCGGUAGGCUGUUCAUUUGAGAUAAAAACAAGUAAAACCUUAAACUAACCGAAUGAAUAGC
rnacentral:lncRNA from 1 species